rnacentral:misc_RNA from 1 species
GAAAAAAAAAAAAAAAGUCAAUGGGAGGACCACAGCUACUUCUGUCUGGCACACCUGGCUGAGACUGUACAGAUAAUGCAAAUUAAAACCUUGAUCCAUCCUGUCUGCACUUCUCCAUACUAUAAAUCCACUCCUUUCUACAAAGACAAUCCCAACUACCAAUCUGCAUGACCAUUUACCUAAAAAUGCUCUCCUCGCAGCUCACACCCAACCCGCAUGAUCCCAAAUAAGAAAUGGUAAGAAAACCAACUUACAGUCUGUACAGGAUGGAUUAAUGUCAUAUACAUCAUUUAUUGGUGUUCACUUUAACAAGAUAGUAUAUCAUCUCCAAAUAGGUCUAAUACCAGCAUCUCCCCUAAAUCCAAACCUAAAACCACCUUCCAUCCACCUCAUAACCAUCCCACUAAGCAUCUCCAGUACAAGAAUAAAUAAGAAAGUAGGCAACCGGUUCUUUUCAUUAAACCCUUCAACCCAAAGAGCCACAUGGGCUCCACAAUGAAAACUUAGGUACUCUGCAACCGUCAAUUCAAAACUUCCAUAGAUGCCCUAAACUCAAAUUUUACUUUAAUUUACGCGAGUAAUGAAUGCUAAAUUUUAUUCUAUCACCAAGGAACUGUAUCAGCUGCCUUGACAAAAAUUAUUAGCAAGAAGGACAAAUGUACAGACAAGUGUACAUGGUUGGCUAUGAUGAUUCAGCCAUGCAUAACAUUAAUUUUUAAAAUAACCAUGAAGUGAAUGAUUCAAGAUGAAACCCUAGGAAGGCGAAAAGAACAAGAAUUUGUGGGGAACACAAAAUGGCCCUGGCUUUAAAAGAUGUAGCAAACACAAAGCAAUAUUGAAAAAUAGUUGCCAAAAAUAUCGAGAAGAAGCUGCUUAUCAACUUUAAUAUGGAACCAAAUUUUAAUACACUUGUGAUGAAGACUGUUGAUCACAGCAAAAUAUCUCAUUUAUGUUACCCCACAUACAGAGAGUGAGAAAGAUCUUUUCUUCUCAUUCCAAAGUUCAAAAAUCGGAUUGGGUUACUCACUAAUCACAAAACAUCAAUUACCUUCUCUAAUAUUAUAUACCCUUGGGCAAGGCGAUCAAUUGUUUUAUUAAGAAAAAGUUUACACCAACCUUGAACUAUGUUGGAUUUGUG